AGCGACACAGAGCGGGUGGUGACUGCAGCAAAGCUCCCUACAUCGCAAUAUAGUGCUGCAGCUGGAGCGGCAGGUGUCACCACGCUAAACAGAUUGCGUGUGCUGCAACGCUUCUGUGCCAAACCAGAGAAAAGGAAUGUAAAAUCAAAAUAGAAAGGACUCUGUCAUGAUGUCCGACCAAAUUUGAGUUUUCUGGCCACAAAGAGAGACCACAAAAUCUGCGUUUUCAGGCUUGAAGCUUCUGUCUUAAUCUCAGAACAGAAACCCACACCCACUGCCUCUCUAUUCCUGCAAUCUUUGCAGCUGUGCAAGUACUAGUUGUGUGCGGCCCAAUGUCUUACAUACCACUUCUGUUAGGUCUACUAGGUUAAGGAAAAAGAGUUCAUCUGGACUGCUAAGGCCCAACCUACAGAAAAAUACAACUUUAAAAGGAAUCAUAAAAAAAGUUGAGCCUUUGAGUACCUUAGGCUUUUACGAAAAUGAAUAGUAGUUAAUAAUAAACAAAUAGUAAAAUGUUAAAGUAACCUAAUCAAAUAAAUAUAAUAUAUUAUUAUUUAGUAUCCCCACAGAAAUGAAUAGUAGUUAAUAAUAAACAAAUAAUAAAAUAACAGAGUAACCUAAUCAAAUAAAUAUAAUAUAGUAUUAUUUAGUAUUCCCACUUAGUGUGUUAAGGCUUGGUUGUUGUUGUAUAGUAGUAUUAUUUAGUAUAAUUGAAUAGC
rnacentral:lncRNA from 1 species